rnacentral:rRNA from 1 species
CAUACCUUAUUUAAAAUUUCAAAUUAUAAAUUUUUAUAAUUUUACUAUUAAAUCUUAUUUAUUUAAUUUAUUAAAAAUUAAACUCAUUAUUAAAUUAAAAUAUAACUCAUUAUAUCCUAAUAAUUCUACAUUUUGAUUUGAAUUUAAAUUAUAUUUAAUUUAUCAAUUAUAUUCUUUUAAACUAAUUUUUAAACAACAAUAUAUAAAAACUUUAUUAGGACCCUCCACUCGUGGAUUAUCAUUUAUUUAACAAGUUCCUCUAACUAUUUAAAGUACCGCCAAAUUAUUUAAAUUUCAAAAUAUCUUUUACUCUCCAAUUAAUUAAUUUUAACUAUAA